UUUUUAGUGUCCGCGUAUUUUUAUGGGAAAGAUUGGGAAGGUGUUGAAAAUUUUGGGACAAUUUCAAGAAGGUUUUGGUUGGUUAGUACUUAAGUCUUGAAAUAGGGCGCAGCGGUAGACUCUCGCUUCUUCUUGUCCCUCGCUGCUACAGUUGAGAGAGGGCGGCGAGGAGGCGAUCCGUUUCCGGAGCCGAUUUCCUCCGUUCCCCUUCCCCUCUGGCUGCCGUAUCGGCGCCGCCGGAGAGGAAGGGGAACGGGAUUGAGGCUGACGGUGUAUAUAUCUUCUCCUAAUCUAGGUAAUUCAGGUAGGGUAGAUUUUGUUUCCCCGUCGGUGUCAUCGCCGGCUUGGGAUUGGUGGUUUCCUUGGCUUCUUGAACAUCGAUCUCAUCUUAUCUGGUGACAUCGGUGGCUCAAAGAAGUUGAGGAUAGUCUUUCCUGGUGGUGUUCGCUUGGUGGAGGUGGCGCCACUGCUAUGGAAUAAGUUCCUCUGGCCUGAUUUCCACCUCGUCGGUGCGUCCUCCGGUACCGUCGACGGGCGCGGGAGGAAGGAGCCUGAUGGCUUCUGGAUAGGAGCCUUCUACUCGGCGCUCCAACCAGCUUUGAUUUGGGUGUCGGUGGCUCUCUACAGAGAGACAGCUGGUAGGUUGGUGCUUGUGCGGUGGGUGGAUUUGUGCUCUGUUCUCGCCGCUUGCCGGCGUAGUGUGCAGGUCCACGGCCGGCGAAGUAUGGGGUGCGUCCCCGGCCGAUAUUCCUCCUCUGUUUGGUUCUUUUGGGCUCAGUUCAAAGCCUUUGUGCGAUGGUACUUCGUCUGGCCUCGGUGCUCUUGCCGUUCUUCUUCUGCUCCGGCAGUGGCCUCGGCAACGACGGCGGUGGACGACGAGCGGUCUGUAUGCGUACGUCUCCAACUCUCCUACAGGAUUUCGACGAGAUCGGCAUCAGCGUUCGGCGACGCGGCUUCUGUCUUGAACCUCUUCAUCUUUAUGAUGACUUCUCAAUCCAGUUCUUAGUAUUACAAAACGUAUGGAGUUAUAUAAUAAAAUUACUUUGGUUAUUUAUAUUGGUAAAGGUCAAGUUUUUAU